UGAUAGUCAGGCCAGCCGGUUAGGCUGCCACCGGAAGUUGGUAGACGGUGCUGCCUGCGACCAACCCCAGGAGGACUGGGU
rfam:Murray Valley encephalitis virus strain MK6684, complete genome